rnacentral:rRNA from 1 species
UAGUCCACGCCGUAAACGAUGUCUGCUAGCCGUCGGGGCACUUGGUGUUUCGGUGGCGCCGCUAACGCAUUAAGCAGACCGCCUGGGGAGUACGGUCGCAAGAUUAAAACUUAAAGGAAUUGACGGGGGCCCGCACAAGCAGUGGAGCAUGUGGUUUAAUUCGAAGCAACGCGCAGAACUUUACCAGCCCUUGACAUCCCGUGCUACAUCCAGAGAUGGAUGGUUCCCUUCGGGGACGCGGUGACAGGUGCUGCAUGGUUGUCGUCAGCUCGUGUCGUGAGAUGUUGGGUUAAGUCCCGCAACGAGCGCAACCCCUGCCCCUAGUUGCCAGCGGUUCGGCCGGGAACUCUAGGGGGACUGCCGGUGAUAAACCGGAGGAAGGUGGGGAUGACGUCAAGUCAUCAUGGCCUUUAUGUCCAGGGCUACACACGUGCUACAAUGGGCGGUACAAAGGGUAGCGAUGCCGCGAGGUGGAGCCAAUCCCAAAAAGCCGUCCUCAGUUCGGAUUGCAGU